UCACUGCUAUAGAGGAACGUAGAAGGCAGAACAGGAUCCAGAGUAAAAAUGCCACCAUUACCUGGUGCUGAGCUGGUACAUAGCCCUUUGCAACUCUACAGAUAUCUCCUUCGAUGUUGCAAGCUACUCCCUAGCAAAAGCCUUCAGCACUAUUACAGACACGCAGUGAAAUUCUUCAAAACUGCUGACCGGCACACAUUUAAGCAUUUCUAUCUGCUUAGCUGUAUGUUUUUAUAGCAUAAUAAUCAGGUCAAGUUUUAUACAAACAGCUGAGAAUAGUUUAGAGGGGAUGUAAACAUUUUCUUCCUAAUCAAAGAGAACCUAUUUAGCUACCAACAUAUAAUAUUUAAAAAUGCUCAGUGGUUUGUUUACUACUGAGCAUUUGAGCGUUUGUCUUUUCCUUUCUGUGCUCCUGGUUCUGACUUUGUAAACAAUGCAGCAGUCAGUUCUUCUCCAGCCAAGGCAGUUCUGUUAAUCUGUUGGCAUCUGCUAUAUUGUUUCAAAAGUUUAAGGCAGAAAAAGCAAGAAGGAUAGUUCAAACUGUAUUAUUUGCUAAAGUAAAUCAAUAUUAUUUGAUCGUU